rnacentral:lncRNA from 1 species
AAACUAAUUCAAUGAUUUGAGAAUAAGAGAGAGAUCAGCCAGCAAGUCAUAAAUCCUCUCACUAACUUCACUAAGUCAUGAAGAGGACUAGAGACAAGCCAGGUCUAGAGACACCUAAAUCAGUCACACUGAUUUACCUUAAUGGCAUGAGUCAGCUCGAAUCAAUUAGUGACCUAAUCAAAACAUAAUCUAUCAAAUUGAUCAGGUAAG